AUGGAUCAUGAUUCAAAUUGAAUAUAACUGCCAGUCAAUAGGGUCAAUAUUAAACGUACAACAAAAAAACAUUAUACAGAUGAAAAAGUAUUCUGCCGGGGCACUGGAGGUGGACCACCAAAAUUGUUUCUCGAAUCAUCAAUUGCUUCAACCGUAGGAGAAAUGUUGCAAACAAAGAUGACUGGAGAGCUUGCAGUUUGGGAUUCCGAUAGUGUGGAUAAUAGGUGGGAAACUGAUGUGAUGGAAAAAUACAACACUCAAUACAUUAGCAAAGACCAAAUUAUAACUAUAAAUUUGGAAGGUGUGUUAAAUAACACUAGUGUUAUUAAAAAAUUAAAAUUUGGUAACUCAUAAGAUCUAGAUGAAAGUGGCACACCUUGGCACAUGGCAACCUUAAAAUCUACACCAUAUUUAAUAGCCAGUAUUGCUUCUGCAGCUUCAGUUGAACCAGUAAACAACAAACCAUGUACGUCGACAAAAAAGAUUGGACAACUUGCACCCCAGCAGACUUAAAAUCUAAGUUACCUUUAAUAACCAGUAGUGCUUCAGCAGCUGGUAUGCACUUUUUUAUUUGUAUUAAGCCCAUAGACAUAUAAACUAAUUGACAGCACCUUCCACUCUACCCUGCCCUCAAUACAUGGGAAUCAUAUAAGAGAA